rnacentral:rRNA from 1 species
GACGAACGCUGGCGGCGUGCUUAACACAUGCAAGUCGAACGGAAAGGCCCUGCUUGCAGGGUACUCGAGUGGCGAACGGGUGAGUAACACGUGGGUGAUCUGCCCUGCACUUCGGGAUAAGCCUGGGAAACUGGGUCUAAUACCGGAUAGGAGCCAUUUUUAGUGUGAUGGUUGGAAAGUUUUUUCGGUGUAGGAUGAGCUCGCGGCCUAUCAGCUUGUUGGUGGGAUAAUGGCCUACCAAGGCGGCGACGGGUAGCCGGCCUGAGAGGGUGGACGGCCACAUUGGGACUGAGAUACGGCCCAGACUCCUACGGGAGGCAGCAGUGGGGAAUAUUGCACAAUGGGCGCAAGCCUGAUGCAGCGACGCCGCGUGGGGGAUGACGGCCUUCGGGUUGUAAACUCCUUUCGCUAGGGACGAAGCUUUUUGUGACGGUACCUAGAUAAGAAGCACCGGCUAACUACGUG